rnacentral:rRNA from 1 species
GUAGUCAUAUGCUUGUCUCAAAGAUUAAGCCAUGCAUGUCUAAGUAUAAGCAACUUGUACUGUGAAACUGCGAAUGGCUCAUUAAAUCAGUUAUCGUUUAUUUGAUAGUACCUUACUACAUGGAUACCUGUGGUAAUUCUAGAGCUAAUACAUGCUAAAAACCCCGACUUCAGGAAGGGGUGUAUUUAUUAGAUAAAAAACCAACGCCCUUCGGGGCUCCUUGGUGAAUCAUAAUAACUUAACGAAUCGCAUGGCCUUGCGCCGGCGAUGGUUCAUUCAAAUUUCUGCCCUAUCAACUUUCGAUGGUAGGAUAGUGGCCUACCAUGGUGGCAACGGGUAACGGGGAAUUAGGGUUCGAUUCCGGAGAGGGAGCCUGAGAAACGGCUACCACAUCCAAGGAAGGCAGCAGGCGCGCAAAUUACCCAAUCCCGAUACGGGGAGGUAGUGACAAUAAAUACUGAUACGGGGCUCUUUUGGGUCCCGUAAUUGGAAUGAG